rnacentral:rRNA from 1 species
CCUACGGGAGGCAGCAGUCGAGAAUCAUUCACAAUGGGGGAAACCCUGAUGGUGCGACGCCGCGUGGGGGAAUGAGCGUUUCGGCGCGUAAAGCCCUAUCGUCAGGGAAGAAGAUGACGGUACCUGACCAAGAAGCCCCGGCUAACUACGUGACAGCAGCCGCCGGAAUACGUAGGGGGCAAGCGGUCUCCGGAUUUACUGGGUGGAAAGGGGUCGCAGACGGCAAUGCAAGCCAGGAGUGAAAGCCCGGGGCCCAACCCCGGGACUGCUCUUGGAACUGGAUGGCUGGAGUACAAGAGGGGCAGGCGGAAUUCCUAGUGUAGCGGUGAAAUGCGUAGAUAUUAGGAGGAACACCGGUGGCGAAGGCGGCCUGCUGGACUGUGACUGACGUUGAGGCCCGAAGGCGUGGGGAGCAAACAGGAAUAGAUACCCCAGUAGUC